CCACUUAUAUUUCAACCUAUAAGCAUUAAGGUUAGUUAAGCUGUGUUGACCCUAAGGGAUUAUCGUGCAGUUAAAGUCAAUAUUACGUGUUUUCCAUCCAUUGAUCUUAGAUACUUCUAUCCUCAGAACCAUGCAACCACUGACAUCCACUACAUAUUAUCCAUGUGCUACUUCUAUUCCUAGAAGUACCACCCACAUAUACGCACUACACUCUAUGUUGUUCCUAUCUAGGAGACACGCACCUCUACUGCUUCUACCCUAGGAGUAAGCAUUCAUCCAUCCAUACACAUUCCGCAUCCACUUAGAAAAUGUUCUUCUACUACACUGGGAGAGAAUACCCAAAAAUAUUCAUUGGUGUUAUGUCUUUUUCUACUUAUCCAAUAAAGCUCUAGUUAUUUCAGUUGAUACUUCCUAUUGUUGUUAGUGGAUUAAAAGGAUUGGCUGAUUAAAAAAAGAGAGAAAAAAAGAAAGAAGACAAAACUCCCAAUAGAAAAGUAAGAGGAAGCAGCCAAAUCCUUAUUUUCAGAUUAGAGAAGUAUGUUAUCCCCAAGCAACAAUUGUAGAAUUAGAUUUUCACCAUCAGUCAUCACCCCUCAUUAUCUCCAUCAUUCUUAUCACUCAUUUCAUUCACUACACAAUCAUGCACAUAUGAAAUGAUUGUAUAAUUAGUUUCUCUGGAUCCACGGUUUAACUAUGCAAUACAUGCAAGUAGGUUUGAAUUGUCGACUCCACCUAUAAGCUCCAUAUAAGCCUAUUAGAAGUAGGGUGAGAGAGAGAAAGCAAUUAUGCCUUGGCCAUACAAAUACCAUAUUUUAUGAGAAGAGAGAAGGCAUACCCUACACAUGCCUUGGAGAGGAUCCAAAAAUACCAUAUAUGAGAGACUUGAAAGGGUCAUACAAGGAAUCUUUGAGUUUUAUUUGAAAAUCUUGCAAAACUGCAAAAUAAUAGUUGAUCAUAGAGCGACAAAUAUAGAGCUUGACUUAACUGUUUUGUCAUUCAACUGCUCAAGACUUAAGUGAUAGCUAUAAGCCCCAUGGUGAAAGGUAAUAUGGGUAAGACUUCAGUUAGAAUGGUUCACAC
rnacentral:lncRNA from 1 species